rnacentral:rRNA from 1 species
UACGUAGGGUGCAAGCGCUAAUCGGAAUUACUGGGCGUAAAGCGUGCGCAGGCGGCUUUGCAAGACAGAUGUGAAAUCCCCGGGCUCAACCUGGGAACUUCAUUUGUGACUGCAUGGCUAGAGUACGGUAGAGGGGGAUGGAAUUCCGCGUGUAGCAGUGAAAUGCGUAGAUAUGCGGAGGAACACCGAUGGCGAAGGCAAUCCCCUGGACCUGUACUGACGCUCAUGCACGAAAGCGUGGGGAGCAAACAGG